UCCGGGUUCAACCCUAGUUUAGGAUGGACGUCUAAACACAAGGAAACGAUUAGCGUGGGUGUUUGUAUAUGGGCUGUUGUGCGUGUGUGUACCUUUGUGUAAAGUAAAGAGACACUGAGGCUGUCAGGGAAACUUUUUUAGAUUCUCAUCACCCACGUCUUAUCUCGAAACACACACACACCGCCUCAAUGCAAAGCAACACAUUGUUCCUUGGAAUGUACUUUAGAACGGAAAAUGUCCCUACGUGAUGGUUCACUCGUGAAUGCAAAACCUUGAGGCAUAGUGUGCACACAGACACACAGCCUUCUAAGCGCGCAGUUUAACAAAGCCCACGCAAUGCAUGGGAAACUUUCCCCAGGCUGCUUUGAUGGACAGUCCGUUAUAAGCUAAAUUCAUUGCUCGCUAAUGACUCACAGAUCUCCAUGAUGAUGAUGACACACUGCAGAUGUGACCGGACGGCAAAAACGUAUUUAUGGACAGACCCCCUCAUGGGUUUCGUCUUCAUGGUACGACGGAGCCAGGAAAUCAGCCCGGAGACGAGCUUCCCUUCUCGGUGGAGAGGCCACAUGCAGGGGGAGGUGCUGAGGCUGUGAGACAGAAUCUCUGGUGUGGUCUCCACUGGCCACAGCUGCCGCUGUAGGCGACGGAACAAACCCGAGACCCGGAGGAGAGCGGACGCAGGAGGGCUUCAACAUGACACCGCGGACGUAUAAGGAGGAUGGUCGACCGUAUACACCAGCCAGGACGCAGGACAUGAACAUCCAUCCCCUAUUUGACCGGCAUCAGAAUGCACAACAUCACGUCCAUGUUCACAUUAGCGGUCCGGAUACCACAGCUUGGGUUUGAUUCCUAUGUCCUUAAAACAAUGAGAUCUCCCCCCCCUCUGCCAUGCUCUGCUUCAGGGCCGGGUCACUGAUCACAUGAGCUCUGAUCUGGCCUAUGUUCCCGCUUCCGCCACCUCAGGGAUGAGUUUCUACAUCUGUCUAAUGUAAUGUUCUUCAAGGGGAUGCUACGUGGGUUUACAUACAUGGGAGCAAACAAAUACCCUGAGGCCAAUCGGAUCAAUUGACCUCGGAUGAAUGAAUGUUGACCAAUGCUGUGUUAGAAGAAGUGUGUGUGUGUGUGUGUGUCCCAGUUUUUGCAGCUAUGCAGUGAUGUU